rnacentral:rRNA from 1 species
UGGGAAACUGAGGAUAAUACUGGAUAGGCAAUUUUUCCUGUAAUGGUUUUUUGUUUAAAUGUUUUUUCGCCUAAGGAUGGGUCUGCGGCCGAUUAGGUAGUUGGUUAGGUAAUGGCUUACCAAGCCGUUGAUCGGUACGGGUUGUGAGAGCAAGAGCCCGGAGAUGGAACCUGAGACAAGGUUCCAGGCCCUACGGGGUGCAGCAGGCGCGAAACCUCCGCAAUGUGAGAAAUCGCGACGGGGGGAUCCCAAGUGCCAUUCUUAACGGGAUGGCUUUUCAUUAGUGUAAAAAGCUUUUGGAAUAAGAGCUGGGCAAGACCGGUGCCAGCCGCCGCGGUAACACCGGCAGCUCUAGUGGUAGCAAUUUUUAUUGGGCCUAAAGCGUCCGUAGCCGGUUUAAUAAGUCUCUGGUGAAAUCCUGUAGCUUAACUGUGGGAAUUGCUGGAGAUACUAUUAGACUUGAGACCGGGAGAGGUUAGAGGUACUCCCAGGGUAGAGGUGAAAUUCUGUAAUCCUG